rnacentral:rRNA from 1 species
UACGUAGGGCGCAAGCGUUAUCCGGAAUUAUUGGGCGUAAAGAGCUCGUAGGCGGUUUGUCGCGUCUGCCGUGAAAGUCCGGGGCUCAACUCCGGAUCUGCGGUGGGUACGGGCAGACUGGAGUGAUGUAGGGGAGACUGGAAUUCCUGGUGUAGCGGUGAAAUGCGCAGAUAUCAGGAGGAACACCGAUGGCGAAGGCAGGUCUCUGGGCAUUAACUGACGCUGAGGUGCGAAAGCGUGGGGAGCAAACAGG